rnacentral:rRNA from 1 species
AGUUUGAUCCUGGCUCAGGAUGAACGCUAGCUACAGGCUUAACACAUGCAAGUCGAGGGGCAGCAUAUUUAUAGCAAUAUAAAUGAUGGCGACCGGCGCACGGGUGAGUAACACGUAUCCAACCUGCCGUUUACUCGGGGAUAGCCUUUCGAAAGAAAGAUUAAUACCCGAUGGUAUAUAUUGAUUUCAUGGUCUUUAUAUUAAAGAAUUUCGGUAAACGAUGGGGAUGCGUUCCAUUAGGCAGUUGGCGGGGUAACGGCCCACCAAACCUACGAUGGAUAGGGGUUCUGAGAGGAAGGUCCCCCACAUUGGAACUGAGACACGGUCCAAACUCCUACGGGAGGCAGCAGUGAGGAAUAUUGGUCAAUGGGCGUAGGCCUGAACCAGCCAAGUAGCGUGAAGGAUGACUGCCCUAUGGGUUGUAAACUUCUUUUAUAAGGGAAUAAAGUGGAGUAUGUAUACUCUUUUGUAUGUACCUUAUGAAUAAGGAUCGGCUAACUCC